UAGACUUUGCUUCGUCUCUCCUGAUCCCCA
rnacentral:piRNA from 2 species